rnacentral:rRNA from 1 species
GACGAACGCUGGCGGCGUGCUUAACACAUGCAAGUCGAACGGAAAGGCCCUGCUUUUGUGGGGUGCUCGAGUGGCGAACGGGUGAGUAACACGUGAGUAACCUGCCCUUGACUUUGGGAUAACUUCAGGAAACUGGGGCUAAUACCGGAUAGGAUCUCCUGCUGCAUGGUGGGGGUUGGAAAGUUUCGGCGGUUGGGGAUGGACUCGCGGCUUAUCCGCUUGUUGGUGGGGUAGUGGCUUACCAAGGCUUUGACGGGUAGCCGGCCUGGGAGGGUGACCGGCCACAUUGGGACUGCGAUACGGCCCAGACUCCUACGGGAGGCAGCAGUGGGGAAUAUUGCACAAUGGGCGGAAGCCUGAUGCAGCAACGCCGCGUGCGGGAUGACGGCCUUCGGGUUGUAAACCGCUUUCGCCUGUGACGAAGCGGGAGUGACGGUAAUGGGUAAAGAAGCACCGGCUAACUACGUG